UGGGGAAUAUUGGACAAUGGGCGCAAGCCUGAUCCAGCCAUGCCGCGUGAGUGAUGAAGGCCUUAGGGUUGUAAAGCUCUUUCGCCGGUGAAGAUAAUGACGGUAACCGGAGAAGAAGCCCCGGCUAACUUCGUGCCAGCAGCCGCGGUAAUACGAAGGGGGCUAGCGUUGCUCGGAAUCACUGGGCGUAAAGCGCACGUAGGCGGAUCGUUAAGUCAGGGGUGAAAUCCUGGAGCUCAACUCCAGAACUGCCCUUGAUACUGGCGAUCUCGAGUUCGAGAGAGGUUGGUGGAACUCCGAGUGUAGAGGUGAAAUUCGUAGAUAUUCGGAAGAACACCAGUGGCGAAGGCGGCCAACUGGCUCGAUACUGACGCUGAGGUGCGAAAGCGUGGGGAGCAAAACAGGAUUAGAUACCCUGGUAGUCCACGCCGUAAAACGAUGGAUGCUAGCCGUUGGGGGGUUUACCUCUCAGUGGCGCAGCUAACGCCUUAAAGCAUCCCGCCUGGGGAGUACGGUCGCAAGAUUAAAAACUUAAAUGAAUUGAC
rnacentral:rRNA from 1 species